rfam:Ovis aries breed Texel chromosome 18, whole genome shotgun sequence.
UCCCUGGUGGUCCAGUGGCUAGGACUCCGUGCUUGCAAUGCAGGAAGCCUGGGUUUGAUCCCUGAUCAGGGAA